rnacentral:tRNA from 1 species
GUAGUUCAGUUGGUUAGAAUACAUGCCUGUCCGACGUUCGGUGUCACGCAUGGGGCCGCGUACGGAACGCCGCCCGGUUCGAGUCCCGUCCAGA